rnacentral:rRNA from 1 species
CCUACGGGGUGCAGCAGUGGGGAAUAUUGCACAAUGGGCGCAAGCCUGAUGCAGCCAUGCCGCGUGUAUGAAGAAGGCCUUCGGGUUGUAAAGUACUUUCAGCGGGGAGGAAGGUGUUGAGGUUAAUAACCUCAGCAAUUGACGUUACCCGCAGAAGAAGCACCGGCUAACUCCGUGCCAGCAGCCGCGGUAAUACGGAGGGUGCAAGCGUUAAUCGGAAUUACUGGGCGUAAAGCGCACGCAGGCGGUCUGUCAAGUCGGAUGUGAAAUCCCCGGGCUCAACCUGGGAACUGCAUUCGAAACUGGCAGGCUAGAGUCUUGUAGAGGGGGGUAGAAUUCCAGGUGUAGCGGUGAAAUGCGUAGAGAUCUGGAGGAAUACCGGUGGCGAAGGCGGCCCCCUGGACAAAGACUGACGCUCAGGUGCGAAAGCGUGGGGAGCAAACAGGAUU